rnacentral:sRNA from 1 species
GAAAAGUGUUUGUGUUUGUUUCUUUUGCCAUUGCAUAGUUACUCUGUUCAUGGACCCAGGCAUGAAGAAUCUAUAAUGAGCCUAAUCCGGAAGGAAGUGGAGAAAUGUGACUCUUUCAGUGGUUUUUUCAUCAUAAUGAGUAUGGCUGGGGGCACAGGAUCAGGAUUAGGAGCUUUCGUUACACAGAAUUUACAAGAUCAGUACCCAAACUCAUUGAAAAUGAAUCACAUUAUUUGGCCUUAUGGAACUGGUGAGGUUAUUGUUCAAAACUACAACUCCAUUUUGACACUUUCUCACUUGUACCGAUCUUCAGACGCCCUCCUUGUUCAUGAGAAUGAUGCCGUCCAUAAGAUCUGUGCAAAACUGAUGAAUAUCAAGCAGAUCUCCUUUAGUGAUAUCAAUCAAGUCCUCGCACAUCAGCUGGGAAGUGUGUUCCAGCCUACUUAUUCUGCAGAAAGCUCAUUUCACUACAGACGAAAUCCACUAGGUAUUGAUUGGCAUGUACGGCCUCCUUUGUCAGGACUUCCUCCUCUUGGUAAAAUGUCUCUCAACAAGGACCUGCAUUUUAACACUUCCGUUGCUAACUUGGUCAUUCUUCGUGGGAAAGAUGUGCAAAGUGCAGAUGUGGAGGGAUUUAAAGAUCCAGCUCUGUAUACUUCCUGGUUGAAGCCUGUUAAUGCUUUCAAUGUGUGGAAAACCCAGCGGGCCUUUAGCAAAUAUGAGAAGUCUGCAGUGUUGGUCAGCAACAGCCAGUUCUUAGUAAAACCACUUGAUACGAUUGUUGGGAAGGCAUGGAAUAUGUUUGCUUCAAA